rnacentral:rRNA from 1 species
CAGCCGCCACGGGAAUACGUAGGGUGCAAGCGUUAAUCGGAAUUACUGGGCGUAAAGCGUGCGUAGGCGGUUCGUUAAGUCUGUUGUGAAAGCCCCGGGCUCAACCUGGGAAUGGCAAUGGAUACUGGCGAGCUAGAGUGUGUCAGAGGAUGGUGGAAUUCCCGGUGUAGCGGUGAAAUGCGUAGAUAUUGGGAAGAACACCGGUGGCGAAGGCGGCAACCUGGUCCUUGACUGACGCUGAGGCGCGAAAGCGUGGGGAGCAAACAGGAUUAGAUACCCGCGUAGUCCCUGUCUCUUAUAC